rnacentral:tRNA from 4 species
UAGAAUAAAGCUCGCUGGAUAGAGUGUUUAGCUGUUAACUAAAAUUUUACGGGAUCAAGGCCCGUUUUUCUAG